rnacentral:rRNA from 1 species
UAACACAUGCAAGUCGAGGGGCAGCACAGGUAGCAAUACCGGGUGGCGACCGGCGCACGGGUGAGUAACGCGUAUGCAACUUGCCUAUCAGAGGGGGAUAACCCGGCGAAAGUCGGACUAAUACCGCAUGAAGCAGGGGCCCCGCAUGGGGAUAUUUGCUAAAGAUUCAUCGCUGAUAGAUAGGCAUGCGUUCCAUUAGGCAGUUGGCGGGGUAACGGCCCACCAAACCGACGAUGGAUAGGGGUUCUGAGAGGAAGGUCCCCCACAUUGGUACUGAGACACGGACCAAACUCCUACGGGAGGCAGCAGUGAGGAAUAUUGGUCAAUGGGCGUAAGCCUGAACCAGCCAAGUCGCGUGAGGGAUGAAGGUUCUAUGGAUCGUAAACCUCUUUUAUAAGGGAAUAAAGUGCGGGACGUGUCCCGUUUUGUAUGUACCUUAUGAAUAAGGAUCGGCUAACUCCGUGCCAGCAGCCGCGGUAAUACGGAGGAUCCGAGCGUUAUCCGGAUUUAUUGGGUUUAAAGGGUGCGUAGGCGGCCUUUUAAGUCAGCGGUGAAAGUCUGUGGCUCAACCAUAGAAUUGCCGUUGAAACUGGGGGGCUUGAGUAUGUUUGAGGCAGGCGGAAUGCGUGGUGUAGCGGUGAAAUGCAUAGAUAUCACGCAGAACCCCGAUUGCGAAGGCAGCCUGCCAAGCCAUUACUGACGCUGAUGCACGAAAGCGUGGGGAUCAAACAGGAUUAGAUACCCUGGUAGUCCACGCAGUAAACGAUGAUCACUAGCUGUUUGCGAUACACUGUAAGCGGCACAGCGAAAGCGUUAAGUGAUCCACCUGGGGAGUACGCCGGCAACGGUGAAACUCAAAGGAAUUGACGGGGGCCCGCACAAGCGGAGGAACAUGUGGUUUAAUUCGAUGAUACGCGAGGAACCUUACCCGGGUUUGAACGCAUUCGGACCGAGGUGGAAACACCUUUUCUAGCAAUAGCCGUUUGCGAGGUGCUGCAUGGUUGUCGUCAGCUCGUGCCGUGAGGUGUCGGCUUAAGUGCCAUAACGAGCGCAACCCUUGCCACUAGUUACUAACAGGUAAAGCUGAGGACUCUGGUGGGACUGCCAGCGUAAGCUGCGAGGAAGGCGGGGAUGACGUCAAAUCAGCACGGCCCUUACAUCCGGGGCGACACACGUGUUACAAUGGCGUGGACAAAGGGAAGCCACCUGGCGACAGGGAGCGAAUCCCCAAACCACGUCUCAGUUCGGAUCGGAGUCUGCAACCCGACUCCGUGAAGCUGGAUUCGCUAGUAAUCGCGCAUCAGCCAUGGCGCGGUGAAUACGUUCCCGGGCCUUGUACACACCGCCCGUCAAGCCAUGGGAGCCGGGGGUACCUGAAGUCCGUAACCGAAAGGAUCGGCCUAGGGUAAAACUGGUGACUGGGGCUAAA